GUGGGGAAUCUUGCGCAAUGGGCGAAAGCCUGACGCAGCCAUGCCGCGUGAAUGAUGAAGGUCUUAGGAUUGUAAAAUUCUUUCACCGGGGACGAUAAUGACGGUACCCGGAGAAGAAGCUCCGGCUAACUUCGUGCCAGCAGCCGCGGUAAUACGAAGGGGGCUAGCGUUACUCGGAAUUACUGGGCGUAAAGGGCGCGUAGGCGGACAGCUUAGUCAGAGGUGAAAGCCCAGGGCUCAACCUUGGAAUUGCCUUUGAUACUGGCUGUCUUGAGUUUGGGAGAGGUGAGUGGAACUCCGAGUGUAGAGGUGAAAUUCGUAGAUAUUCGGAAGAACACCAGUGGCGAAGGCGACUCACUGGCCCAAUACUGACGCUGAGGCGCGAAAGCGUGGGGAGCAAACAGGAUUAGAUACCCUGGUAGUCC
rnacentral:rRNA from 1 species